rnacentral:rRNA from 1 species
GUGCACAGGUGGUGCAUGGCUGUCGUCAGCUCGUGUCGUGAGAUGUUGGGUUAAGUCCCGCAACGAGCGCAACCCUUGUCCCAUGUUGCCAGCGGGUAAUGCCGGGGACUCGUGGGAGACUGCCGGGGUCAACUCGGAGGAAGGUGGGGACGACGUCAAGUCAUCAUGCCCCUUAUGCCCAGGGCUUCACACAUGCUACAAUGGCCAGUACAGAGGGUUGCCAAACCGUGGGGGGGAGCCAAUCCCUUAAAGCUGGUCUCAAUUCGGAUCGGAGUCUGCAACUCCACUACCUGAAGUCGGAGUCCCUAGUAAUC